rnacentral:lncRNA from 1 species
AUGGCUGCACCUGCAGCAUAUGGAAGUUCCUGGGCUAGGGGUUGAAUUGGAGCUGCAGCUGCUGGCCUACGCCACAGCCACAGCCACAGCCACACUGCAUGCUAGCUGCAUCUGUGAUUUACACCACAGCUCAUGGCAACACCAGAUCUUUAGCCCACUGAAUGAGGCCAGAGAUCUAAUCCAUUCUCAUGGACACUAUGUCAGGUUUUUAACCUGCUGAGCCACAAUGGGAACUCCUUCAAAAAUUUACUUUCUAAAGAGUGUAUUACUAAAUUUUCAUUUAUUCUUUAGCCCAAAUGCUGUUCCAAAGAGUCAUUCUUUAACCCUCCAACCUGUUUGAUAUAAAUAUUAAUUAAUAAAGUUUAUUUUAAUCAAGUAAAUAUGAAUUACAUAUUUUUCUGCUUUUUAAUUAACUUUUUCUCUGAAUGCACAUACUGUCACGUAUUUAAAUGUCCAAAAGAUAUCUGAAAAACUAGUACCAAAUCUGUUGAGUGUCAAGGGGGCCCAGGGCAGGCUUCCUCAGUAUAUCCCUCAACCGCACAUUGGUUAUUUUGAAUUAAAAUCACUUGAGAAAUGGCUGAUGCAAGAGGGACACUUUGCCCCUCCUGUCUGUCUUCAUGAAAGCGGGAAAUAAAUCUUUAUGUGAAAGAUACCUUCCCUGUACUGAGAGGUAGAAAGAUCUCCUUAUCACCACAGACAGGGAAUUCAGGUCCAGAAAGCCUGUAUAUAAAAGCAAACCUGUAUAUAAACCAAAUCUACUAUCCAAGACCAAACUUUGCUUAAAUUCCUUGCUAUUUAAAUUCCGCACCCAAAACUAAGUUUCUUUGUCCUGUCAAUUCCUCUCAUCCCGUUUCUUUGUCUAAGAAGUAUAAAAGCUGCCUGUCUUGGCCACGUCUUAGGUCUCAUGCUCUGAGAGCUCUCUGUGCACUUAUUAAAAUGUUUGUUUUUCUCUUGUUGAUCUGUCUUGUGUUGAUUUUAUGAUUAGUCCAGCCACCAGAAUUUAAGAGGGGUAGAAAGGGAAAUUUCUCCCUUCCUAACAGUGUUUUGUGCCAAUCACUGUGUCAAGUUAUCAGGGGCAUUACCUCCUUUAAUUCUCAGAAAAGCUUAAAUUUGGGUACCACAAUCAUCCAGCUGACAAAUCGGAAGCUGAAGCAUAGAGUCAGACUUACCCUGGACCUCAUAGUUACACAUAUCAGGGCUGCUAGAUUAAGUAACACAUGGCGAGUUAAAUGUGUUUCAUAUAAACAUAAAAACUUUCUUUUUCAUAUAAAUAUGUCCUAUGCAGUAUUUGUGACAUACUACACUAAAAACAAAGGCUUCUUUUUUUGGUUUGUUUAUGUGGAAUUCAAAUUUAACUGGGCAUCUUGCAUUUUUAUUUGCUAAACCUAGCAACCCUGUUAAGAAAAGUAAUUGCUUUUCUUUUAUGGCCACACCUGAGGCAUAUGGAAGUUCUGAGGCUAGGGGUCGAAUCAGAGCUGCAGCUGCAGGCCUAUGCCACAGCCACACCAUAGCUACAGAUAUACCACAGACAUAGCAAUCUGAGCUGCAUGUGCAACUUAUACUGCAUUUCCCACUGAGCAAAGCUAGGGAUUGAAUUCAAAUCCUCAUGGAUACUGGUUGAGUUUUCUUAACCCACUGAGCCACAGUAGGAACACCGAGAAAGUAAUGUGAACACAGGUCAAUCCAGCUCUAAAGGCAAUCAUGUCUAUCACCACUCCUUUUUCCAGAAGACACUGGAUAUCCAUGGAUUGAUUCACCCUUUUUAAAAAAUGUUUUUAUUUUCUGGAUACUAAUUUAUUAUUGUUUUCUUGCUCUAUUACAGAGUAACAGUGAGGAAAUAUAUCAAGGUACUCUUAUUUUUUAAAUAAAAUUAUUUCAUGUUCUGGCUGGAAAGGGAAGUAAGUAAUUCCCUUGUUGGGUAAUGAUGAUGCUUGAACAGAAAAGGUACAGACCUGUUUUAAUUCUAAUCUUAAUUUUCUCUCUACUGAAAACUGAGCAUGUGCCUGCAGGACACUCUACAGUACACAAGUAGAAGAAAGCCAGAGCUCCAGUUCAAGGCAUGCAGAGUCUUAGGGGAACACUAUCCUGACACUAUCCUAGGAGUGCUAACAAACCUAAAAUUCCAGAGUCACAUCCUUCGCUUUAAAAAUGAAGUUGUUGAAGCUGAACAUGGUGCGCUGAUUAAGUGGCCCUAAACAUCAAAAUGACUUAGUAGAGUUAGAGUCCAAAGUUCUAGUUGUAGAGGUUAUCUCUACUUUCCAUUCACUCGGUGGAUAUCAUGAGUGAAGUGAGUGCCCAUUAUAUGAUGGGCACAGCCCUAAGCCCUGGAGAUACCAGGCGGAACACAACAGACAAGGUAAGUGCCAUACGGGGUAUGCGUGUUUCUUACUGCUGAUGUAGUUACCACAAAUUGAGUAGCUUUAAAACAGCACAAAUAUAUUACCUGACAAUUCUGGAAGUCACAAUCUAAAAUGGAUUUUACUGGGAUAAAGUCCAAGUGUCAGCUGGACUAUGCUCCUCCCAGAGGCUCUAGGGAAGAAUCCAUUUCUUUGCUUUUUCCAGCUUCCAGCAGCUUCCUAUAGAGGCAUACCUCAAAGAUAUUAUUGCAGGUUCCAUUUAACUGAAUAUCACAAUAGAGUCACACAAUUUUUUUGGCUUCCCAGGGCAUUGACUAUACUGUAGUCAAUUAAGUGUUCAAUAACACUAUGUCUUCAAAACAAAGCACGUACCUUAGUUAAGAAAUAAUAUCACUAAAAAAUGCUAACCAUUAUCCAAGCCGUCAGCAAAUUGUAAUUUUUCUUGCAACAGUAACAUCAAAAGCCAUUGAUCACAGAUAAGUGUAAUAAGCAUAACAAUGAAAAAAAGUGAAAUAUUGCAAGAAUUAUUAAAAUGUGAUAGACAUGAAGUGACCAAAUUUGGUUAUAAAAAUGGCACCAACAGACUUGCUCAAAACAAGAUUGCCACAAACCUUCAAUGUGUAAAAAAACACACAAAUGAAACCAAAAGCUCCUAAAGGCAAUAAAAUGAAGUAUGUCUGUAUUACUUGGGUGGAAGCCUGUUCACAUUAAAAAAGCCCCUAGUGGCCAGCUGGAACUUUUUCACAUCACAUCAUUCCAAUACUGAGUUUUCUGCCUCUUUCUCCCACUUAUCAAGUCCUAGUGAUUAUAAUGGGCUACAUGGAAAACCCAGAAUAAUCUCACCUCAGUGUCAGCUGAUUGGCAAUCUCAAUUCCUCUGUAACCUAAUUUCUCUUUUCCAUGAAACCUAACAUAUUAACAGGAACUGGGAUUAGAAUGUAGGCGUUAUCUGGAGGACUGCUAUUCUGCCUUCGAUAGGGGUUUUGACUAUGUAGUAUAAGAAUGGAGGUAUAAUUCUUACCAUACUCUAAAAAAUCAUCAUAUUGCAGAAAAUACUCUCCACGAAGAUACAACUUUAAAUACUGGUAAACUUUGAAUAUAAGAUAGAUGAUGUAUUGAACCUGAUUGGGCAAAAAGUAUGGGCAGUUUCAAAGCACAUAGGGAAUGUCUUUCUUGAGAACUGGUUAAUUAAGCAGCUAACCCAGGGACAGGGCCCAUCAGAUACAAUGAUUAAAAAGUGCCAAAGCCAUAAACUAGAAUAAGUUUGGAAUAAUCUUAAAGCAGAAGGAAGAUGACAGAAACAUAGUGCGCCUAGGAAGGAGAGCAGCAUGAGAAUCACGUCCAAAGUCCUAGACAUGGUUUACAUGGAUUCCUGAGAUCUGGUCCCUGCCUAUUUCUCCAUCUUUCCCUACAUGUGAGAGUAAAGCUGGUGGACAAGGUUAAGCAGUGUUGACACAACAGUGUCAUAGUUUUGAAAGUUUUCUUUGGUUGCUUUAUAGAGAAUGAGGCAUAGGAACUAGAGGGAAGUUAGUGAAACCAACUAGGAGAUGAUGGAAAUGGCUCAUGGGAGAAAUGAGUGGCAUGAGGGAACAAGAGCAGUGGGCACAGAUGGCAUGUUCUUUGGGAGAAAGUUCUGCAGUGGAUUUCUCAGCCUUGAAACUAUGGGCAUUUCAAGGCAGGCAAUUCUUUGUUGUAGGGAGCGGUUCUGCACAUUGAGAACCACUGAUAUAGUGAAGGCUUAACCAAGGGAUGGGAAGGCAGAAGACAGAAGAGGCAUCCAGGUGAGUCUCUAACUUUCAUAAGUGGGAUGGUAGGCUCUCUUUCCUAUUUUCCUCAGUACACUUAAAGCUGGUUUUUUACAUAAAAUGAGAAGCCUGCUAACAUCGAUGCCUUGAAGAGAAUCUAAAGGAGAACACUUUUAAAGAAAAAUUUAAACCUCCCCCCCCGCCCUCCCCCACUCUCUUUUUAAAGUAGUCCUCUUAAUAAUAAAAGAGCACAUUUGACUGCCUGGAAGUAAAAUGUUAUGGGCCUCUUUCCUUAAACACAAAAUAACCGGUUUGGGUUCUUAUGUCUACGGUGAUUUCAUUUCUAACCUCUUAUCACUACACAUUUUAAAGAGAACUCACUUUGAUUGAUUGAUGGCAGGGAACUGGUACGUGUGUGUGUUGGGGAAGUGGGUGGAUCUGGGUCAGAAACAGUCAAUACAUUUACAUAUAUUUGCUAAAAUUUGCUAUAUACAGAACAAGAAUAUCACAGUGAGUUAUGCUAAUCUGAAGCACAAAAUUCUCAUAACCACUUGUUUUUGCAUUUAAAUUUUAUUGCUAAUUACUUACUUAUCAUUAUAUGACCUGUCACUACAACUUGAUUGAGAGUUCCUUUCUGGCAUAGACCACAUUCGAUUCUCCUUUUUAUCCACACUUCCUGGCACACAGGUAGGUUGUGGUGGAUAGUCAGUGAUUUUUGUGUGCAGAAUAGCUCACACCUACCCACCCAUCCAACUCUGGCUCCUGUGAAAUCCCCUUUCAAUUCAUGUGGUUCUACAAAAGCUUGCCAUUCAAGAUACCACAACUUCUGAAACCCAGGAGUGAGUGCAUCCUAAUUUCCUGACCAGCAUGACUGGCUCAGUUUAGAGAAUGUGUUUAUCCCUGGACCAAUCAGCAGCCUUUCUUGAGUCUUCUCCUCUUAGUUAUUAAUUUUAAUCUGAAAUUUAAAUUCUAUGAGCAGAAAGGUCAAGGUACUGCGUUUUAAGCACUUGAAUGCAGGAUUGCCAUAUUGCGAGAACACUGGUUUAAAGAAGAAUCUGACAUUCAGAGAAAAGGGAAACAAGCUUAAAGGGUCUGUACUUUUCUGGCGUUAUCACUAAGAAUUUCCUCCUUUAUAAGUCAGAUGAGCCAACCAAUACGUCACGGUUAAGUCUGUGUGAGUCAGGCUACUGUCCACUGCCAAACAAGAGUCCUGCCUGAUACAGAGGGAGUUUUGAUUUUUGUGUGUUUUUUUUUUUUUUUUUUUUUUUUUUU